UACGAGGGGAGCAAGCGUUGUUCGGAUUUACUGGGCGUAAAGGGCGCGUAGGCGGCCACCGCAAGUCGACUGUGAAAUCUCCGGGCUUAACCCGGAAAGGUCAGCCGAUACUGCGGGGCUAGAGUGCAGAAGGGGCAACUGGAAUUCUCGGUGUAGCGGUGAAAUGCGUAGAUAUCGAGAGGAACACCUGCGGCGAAGGCGGGUUGCUGGGCUGACACUGACGCUGAUGCGCGAAAGCUAGGGGAGCGAACGGG
rnacentral:rRNA from 1 species